GCCCCGCGUAGCUCCGGCGGCCGCUCCGAACACAUCUGGCUGCAAACUUCCACCUUGCAUCUUCUCUCUUGACCUGCUUUUCCGAGGUACCCCGAGCUUCCUCCUAGCCCACCCCCUCCCACAUGUCGCCGAGCGGAUUGGAGCGGCUAAUGGGGAGGGAGGCAUCACGGCCGCGUGGCUGGGUGGUUUCUCUUCGUUGUUGGGUUUGUGCUGAGGAUGGACGACCCCCUUCCCCGACCUUGAUCUCAAGUGAUGGAGAAACACGACUUUCCAUCUACCUGCCGGCGUCCCUCGGCCUUCGUACUUCCCCCCUCCAUCCAGGACAGUCGAUCCUUGCCUUGCAGCUGAUUGUGAGUCCAGGGCAACCAUUACUGAUGGCAAGUCCAUUGCAAUGGACAGAAGGCUAGCUACAGAUUUCUGAAUAAGUUCAUCAUGUGAAAAAUGCACUAGACAUGUUCGAGGUCUGACUGUCCUAUUGUUAGGCGAUAGAAGAGACUCUUAGUCCUAUAUGAGAUUCAAAGUAAAUGGGUGUGACGAAGUUGGGAUAAAAUCUUUGUUGGCCGAGUUGCCUGGGAAUUGAUAGAAGAUGAGGUGGUGGAUUAGGUGUCGAGAAUCAAUGAAGAUACGUCAUUUCAUGGCAUCCUUGUCCA